GACGAACGCUGGCGGCGUGCUUAACACAUGCAAGUCGAACGGAAAGGCCCUGCUUUUGUGGGGUGCUCGAGUGGCGAACGGGUGAGUAACACGUGAGUAACCUGCCCUUGACUUUGGGAUAACUUCAGGAAACUGGGGCUAAUACCGGAUAGGAGCUCCUGCUGCAUGGUGGGGGUUGGAAAGUUUCGGCGGUUGGGGAUGGACUCGCGGCUUAUCAGCUUGUUGGUGGGGUAGUGGCUUACCAAGGCUUUGACGGGUAGCCGGCCUGAGAGGGUGACCGGCCACAUUGGGAUUGAGAUACGGCCCAGACUCCUACGGGAGGCAGCAGUGGGGAAUAUUGCACAAUGGGCGGAAGCCUGAUGCAGCAACGCCGCGUGCGGGAUGGCGGCCUUCGGGUUGUAAACCGCUUUCGCCUGUGACGAAGCGUGAGUGACGGUAAUGGGUAAAGAAGCACCGGCUAACUACGUG
rnacentral:rRNA from 1 species